rnacentral:lncRNA from 1 species
CAACUCCUGGAUUUGUCUUUCCAGAAAAGCUCUCUGGAAAACUCCCUGGCAGAAACCGAAUCUCGCUACAGCUGCCUGCUGCAACAAAUCCAGGCGCAAAUCAACUGCAUCGAGGAGGAGCUGGCCAGCAUCCGCUGUGAGAUAGAGGGUCAGAGCCAGGAGUACAAGAUGCUCCUGGGCAUCAAGAUGCGCCUGGAGCAGGAGAUCCAGCAGUACCGGGCACUGCUGCAGGAGGGCCAGCAGGACCUUGUUGCCUCCCAAGGAGCUUUCCAAGGAGGUGGAAAAUCCUCCCAGUCAUAUUCUGCUUCCUACUCUCAUUCUCAGUGUGGAGACAUGUCAGGGCAGUCAAGAGUGUGCUAGAGCAGCAGGAGAGACCCUGGCACUGUCCAGCUGAGAUGCACCGACCAUGGGCGGCACGAAACACCCGAGAAUUUCUGCAGCACCCCCUCCUCCUCCCCGCAAUGCUUGGCUUACUCAACUUGUCUUUGGCAAUUCAUUCUUUGUUAAGGGCUCACACUCUGCUGGUAACUCUGCUCUAAUAAACCUUUAUGUCUGCAAUUCAAAUCACAACAUGUCUGAGAAAAUAAAUUUAACCAACCUCACGUGGGUACUUAUCCAGAUCAUCCACCAAACAUGCGCUGUGCAGUUGUAUGGGGUACGUGAUCUCAGGACAGUCCAUUUUGCACCAGGAGAAUGGACACAGUGCUGGGAUAAAACCACUGAGUGAAAGGAAAU